UACGUAGGGGGCGAGCGUUGUCCGGAGUUACUGGGCGUAAAGCGCUUGUAGGCGGUCCACCAAGUUUGGGGUGACAGUUGCCGACUUAAUCGGCAAAGUGCCUCAAAGACUGGCGGACUUGAGGGCCACAGAGGGACAUGGAACUCCAGGUGUAGUGGUGAAAUGCGUAGAUAUCGGGAGGAACACCGGUGGCGAAGGCGGUUCUCUGGGCCUGUACCGACGCUGAGGAGCGAAAGCGUGGGGAGCGAACAGG
rnacentral:rRNA from 1 species